GGAGAAUUGGAAUUACAUGUAUCGCCUGUAAUUGCCGAAUUCACCCCAUUAUCACCUGAAGCGUACGAUAUUUUCCUUAUCUAUCUUGCGAGGAAGACUAAUUCAAUCAAUCGAAGGGUGAGAUCCACCAUUUUCAUCAAGAUGAACACACGUUUAUAUCUUCCUUGCAUUUGGUAAAGAGUCCAUUAGGAUCUGCUUGUGGCGUAGCCAAGAUGUUUUGUACCUUAAUAUUUACAAAAUCAAGUCAAAAAACAAGUGUAAGAUGUAAUCCAUUCAACUUGAUUUGUACUUAGGAGAAAAAAAAUUCUGAUAUAUUGUUUUAAAAGCUUACCUGGAAUGUAUCGUAUGUAGUUUGUAAUAUAAAAACAGGUGUUUUGACA